rnacentral:rRNA from 1 species
UUUUAACUUUUGUUUUUACAUUUUUAAUCUUUUAUAGUUUAUUUUUUUUUUCUCUCUGUGAUGAUUUGUUUUUAUUAGGUUUUUACCUUUUGUAUAAGGUUUUCUAGAAAUACUUUUGUUUAAUCUUUUUAGAAACGGGGAGAUUUUUAAAAUUGUUUUUAUUUUAAUAUUAAGUAAAACUUUUUUAAUGUGGUGAUACGUGUGCGUUCCUCUUGGUAUCUAGUUUGUUCUAAUUUUUUGGGGGUAACCCCCAUACCUUUGGCUUUUAUUUUUUGGUUACUUUUGUUUUAAUAGUAAACUUUUGUGUAAUAACUUUUUUUUAUUUUUAGCUUACUUUAUAAUUUAUUGGUAAAUUUUACUUUAAUUAGUGUAUUAGUAGGUUUUCUUUAUUUUUAUUACUUUGUUUUUAUUUGUUUUUUAAAAAUUAUGUAUUUUACUUUUUACUUUUAAACUUGUUUAUUAAAAUCUUAGCUGGAUUAUUUCUAGUUACUUCUGCCCUAUGCUUUUUGUAAAUGGCUGUGGUUUCCACACUAAGGUAGCGAGAUCAUUAGUUAUUUGAUUGGUAACUUGUAUGAAAGGAGCUUUUUAAAAGUUAUUAUAAUUUUUUCUGAAAUUAUAUUUUUGUUGAAAAUAACAAUUUCCACCCUAAGACAAAAAGACCCUAGAAUUUUUAUAAUUUAAAUUAUUUGGUUGGGGAAAUAUUUAAUUUUAUAAAUAUUAAAAAAUUUAUUUAUUUAUGAACUUUUUUAAAGAAAGUUAGCUAAAAUACUCUAGGGAUAACAGCUUAAUGGUUUUUGUUAGUUCUUAUUACUAAAACUGUUUGGGACCUCGAUGUUGGAUUAGGUUUACUUUGGGGUGUAGAAGCUUUUUAAAGUUAGACUGUUCGUCUAUUGAAUACCUACAUGAUCUGAGUUAAAGUCGGUGUGAGCCAGACUGGAUUUUAUCUAGGGCUAUAUUUAUUUAUACUUCAGUACGAAAGGACCUUUUAUUAGGUAGCUUACCUUUAUUCUUUCUCUCUAAGGCGC